rnacentral:tRNA from 1 species
UCCUUGUUGGCUCAGUUGUAGAGCGUUCGCUUUUAAGCGCAUUUGCUUAAGCAGGAUACCGAAAGUGUCAGGGGUUCGAGCCCCCUAUGAGGGA